CUACGGGCCGCUGCAGUGAGGAAUAUUGCACAAUGGAGGAAACUCUGAUGCAGCAACGCCGCGUGGAGGAUGACGCAUUUCGGUGUGUAAACUCCUUUUAUAUGUCAAGAAAAUGACGGUAGCAUAUGAAUAAGCACCCGCUAACUCCGUGCCAGCAGCCGCGGUAAUACGGAGGGUGCAAGCGUUAGUCGGAAUCACUGGGCGGAAAGGACGCGUAGGCGGGAUAUCAAGUCAGGUGUGAAAUCCUACAGCUUAACUGUAGAACUGCACUUGAAACUGGUAACCUAGAGUAUGGGAGGGGGAGAUGGAAUUAGUGGUGUAGGGGUAAAAUCCGUAGAUAUCACUAGGAAUACCUAAAGCGAAGGCGAUCUCCUGGAACAUAACUGACGCUAAGGCGUGAAAGCGUGGGGAGCAAACAGGAUUAGAUACCCGCGUAGUC
rnacentral:rRNA from 1 species